GAUGAACGCUGGCGGCGUGCCUAAUACAUGCAAGUCGAGCGAACAGAUGAGGAGCUUGCUCCUCUGACGUUAUCGGCGGACGGGUGAGUAACACGUGGAUAACCUACCUAUAAGACUGGGAUAACUUCGGGAAACCGGAGCUAAUACCGGAUAAUAUAUUGAACCGCAUGGUUCAAUAGUUAAAGACGGUUUUGCUGUCACUUAUAGAUGGAUCCGCGCCGCAUUAGCUAGUUGGUAAGGUAACGGCUUACCAAGGCAACGAUGCGUAGCCGACCUGAGAGGGUGAUCGGCCACACUGGAACUGAGAGACGGUCCAGACUCCUACGGGAGGCAGCAGUAGGGAAUCUUCAGCAAUGGGCGAAAGCCUGAAGGAGCAACGCCGCGUGAGUGAUGAAGGUCUUCGGAUCGUAAAACUCUGUUAUUAGGGAAGAACAAAUGUGUAAGUAACUAUGCACGUCUUGACGGUACCUAAUCAGAAAGCCACGGCUAACUACGUG
rnacentral:rRNA from 1 species